UACAGAGGUCUCAAGCGUUGUUCGGAUUCAUUGGGCGUAAAGGGUGCGUAGGUGGCGCCGUAAGUCGGGUGUGAAAUUUCGGAGCUUAACUCCGAAACUGCAUUCGAUACUGCGGUGCUUUGAGGACUGGAGAGGAGACUGGAAUUCAUGGUGUAGCAGUGAAAUGCGUAGAGAUCAUGAGGAAGACCAGUGGCGAAGGCGGGGUCUCUGGACAGUUCCUGACACUGAGGCACGAAGGCCAGGGGAGCAAACGGGG
rnacentral:rRNA from 1 species